GGACCGUUAGCUCAGAUGGUAGAGCAGUUGACUCUUAAUCAAUUGGUCGUAGGUUCGAUCCCUACACGGUCCACCA
rnacentral:tRNA from 1 species